ACGUGCUGACCAAACGUGAUCUUUUAUUCUGAAUUCAUUGUUCCGGAUGUCGUCCUUUUACAUUGCAUGGAUAUAGAAGGCUGUUACCGGAAAUAUAACAGUCAGCGCAGACCGUGUAACCAGACUCGCAAAAUAGAAUAUUUGCUUUGAAACCGUUUUCCCUUCAAUUUGGUGUAUUCACUCUGCGAUAGAGGAGUUUGAAUGUCCUUUUGAACAUGUACCGCCCAGGUAAACCUACACACCGGCCGCCGCCGUUCGGACCUCCAACACCCCAUGGACCACCUUUCAGACACGGAGGGUCCUGUAGUGGUCAUCCUCCUGGACACAUGCCGUCUGCACGUUGCGGACCAUUUUCGCAUUCAGCACUGGAUGACCAUUUUCUCCACAACAGGCCACCAAGAGGUCAUUUCAUAAAUGCCCAGCCGUGUACCUCUCUGCUGGCAGUCUGUGCCUCAUUCCAGGUUGUUGGAUGUGGAUCUUUGUCCUCUUGCUCUCCCUCUGUCCCAUCUGUGUGAAUGGUGUGCUUGAGUUUUGCCUCUUGUGUGUUUGUGUAGUGGUGGAAAGGUUUGUGUCUCAAGUCCCAUCUGUUUGAGACAGCUGGAAGCUGCUUCACAUCCUCCUGGAUCUAGUUCUUCAUAUAUUUUUAAAAUGUUGGUUAAUUUGUUGUGUGUCUGUCCGUCCAGGUUGUUGUUGCUCUUCCUGAAGUUUCUUAAUCCUUAUCCCUAUCCAGGGUCUGAGGUCAGAGGGUGUCAUGUGCUGUACAGAUUCCCAUUCAGGCCCAUUGAUUCAUAAAAGUGUCUUGACUUGAUACAGAGUCUGAUCAAAUGUUUAUUUCCCCUACUUAAUAGAGUUGAAUGUGAGGGAGCGUGCAGUAAAGCAACAUUAAAGGAGGGCUCUGGUAAUGUGUCUGU
rnacentral:lncRNA from 1 species